ensembl:snoRNA SNORD58 Small nucleolar RNA SNORD58
AUGCCGUGAUGACUUCUUAGGACACCUUUGGAUGAUCCAUGAAAAUAAAACCGAAUAACCUGAGCAAA